rnacentral:rRNA from 1 species
AGUGAACGCUGGCGGCAGGCCUAACACAUGCAAGUCGAGCGGCAGCGCGGGGGCAACCCUGGCGGCGAGCGGCGGACGGGUGAGGAAUGCGUCGGAAUCUGCCUAUUUGUGGGGGAUAACGUAGGGAAACUUACGCUAAUACCGCAUACGACCUACGGGUGAAAGUGGGGGACCGCAAGGCCUCACGCAGAUAGAUGAGCCGACGCCGGAUUAGCUAGUUGGCGGGGUAAAGGCCCACCAAGGCGACGAUCCGUAGCUGGUCUGAGAGGAUGAUCAGCCACACUGGAACUGAGACACGGUCCAGACUCCUACGGGAGGCAGCAGUGGGGAAUAUUGGACAAUGGGCGCAAGCCUGAUCCAGCCAUGCCGCGUGUGUGAAGAAGGCCUUCGGGUUGUAAAGCACUUUUGUCCGGAAAGAAAAGCUUUCGAUUAAUACUCGGGAGUCAUGACGGUACCGGAAGAAUAAGCACCGGCUAACUUCGUGCCAGCCGCCGCAGUAACAC